CCUACGGGAGGCAGCAGUGGGGAAUCUUGCGCAAUGGGCGAAAGCCUGACGCAGCAACGCCGCGUGGAGGAAGAAGGUUUUCGGAUCGUAAACUCCUGUCAAUUGAAGACGAAGGCUGAUGGGUGAAUAGCCCUAAAGCUGACGGUAUUCUUUAAGGAAGCCCCGGCUAACUCCGUGCCAGCAGCCGCGGUAAGACGGAGGGGGCAAGCGUUGUCCGGAAUUAUUGGGCGUAAAGAGCGCGUAGGCGGUGUUCCAAGUCGGUUGUAAAAACUCUAGGCUUAACCUGGAGCCCGCAUUCGAUACUGGAACACUUGAGUUCAGUGGGGGGAAUUGGAAUUCCUGGUGUAGCGGUGAAAUGCGCAGAUAUCAGGAGGAACACCAGUGGCGAAGGCGGAUUCCUAUACUGCAACUGACGCUGAGGUGCGAAAGCUAGGGGAGCAAACAGGAUUAGAUACCCCUGUAUU
rnacentral:rRNA from 1 species